UUUUUUUUUUUUUUGCUUUUUAGGGUCACACCUGCAGCAUAUGGAGCCUUAAAAUAAAUAAACAAAUAAAUAAAUAAAUAAAACAAACAGGAGUCAUCUAACUUCCUCGGUAAAGGGCUCCACAGUAAAUGUUUUAGGCUUCACAGGCCACCUAUCUCUGACACAACUGCUCCACUCUGCUAACGUAGCAUGAAAGUGGCCAAGACAACGUGUAAAGGAAUGCAGAUGGCCAGAUUCCAAUAAAACCUCAUUCAUGGACGUUGAGUUUUGAAUUUUAUAUAUUUUAUUCUUUUGAUAUUCUCCCAUCUCUUAAAAAAUGUAAAAACCAUUCUUAGACCAUGCCCCGCCCCCCAAAAAAUGGUGAACUUCUUUGACCUCCAAACCAUCAUUUGCCAACACCUGUGUUUAUAACCAAAAAAGGUGGUAGAACUGAACACAAAUUCCUUGGCGGCUGAGGGAAAACUGGUAACAAACUAGAAAGAGAAGAAAGCUGCCAUAACUUGAGAAAGUUUAUCUACCAGAAAACGACAGCAAAUAUCACUUAAUGAAUGAAACAUAACAAACAUUUCUCACUAAUGUCAGAAAGAAAACAUGAAUGCCUGUCACUAUUUCUAUUCAACAAUAUAUUGACAAUAUAUAUAUCAGAAAGGAGCAGAAGUCACUGUUCUGGUUAUUUGAUCAUUUUCUUAAAAAAAAAAAAAAAAAAGAAGAAAGAAAAGAAAAAGAAAAAAAACUAAGAGGCGAGGAGUUCCCUGGUGGCCCAACUGGUUAAAGAUCCAGCUUUAUCACUGCUGUGCUGUGGGUUCAAUCCCUGGCCCCAGAACUUCCACAUGCUGUGGGCAUGGCCAAAAAAAAAAAAAAAAAAUAAGAGGCCAAAUAUAAAAAUUUAGAAGGUAACCUAACAGAGCUCAAUAUCCAAAAAUUAGUUUCCCUCACAGUAGCAACAGACAAUUAGACAACAUAAAUAAAAUUCAAUGGUAUCUCUGCAUAGAGAGUAUACACAUGUUGCAUUAUAUUUAUUUUAGAAACUAGGGACUUUUGACCUAUUAUAAAUGCAUCUUUUAAAAUCGUUACCAAUAUAAAGCAUAAUAUAUUAUAAAUGUGAACAAAACUUAAAAGUAAAACUCAGUGAAUUAUCAAACCUUUGAGCAACCCAAUAAUUAGGAAAAAGAAAAAAACAAUGUGCAAGAUACACAUAAACACACACGCACCCCACUCUCCAGCCCCAAACUGAAAGACUAAAAAGACUUAGAGAUGCGAUACAAUUUGAAUCAAAAUUUGAACAGGGUGUGUGUGUGUGUGCGCGCGCGCGCGUGCGCGGAAGAGCAUAAUUUAACAAUAGGAUUCUAAACUUUCUAAGGAAGCUCAAAGGGCCAAAAACAGCAAGAUACUUCUAAAAAAAGAAGAUUACAGAACUUACUUUUCCAGACACCAAGAUUUACUUUAAAGCUAUUUAUAGAAGUAUGACGGUAUAAUACUGGUGCAAAGAGAAACAAGACCAAUAAAACAAAAUACAGAGAAGAAAACCAACAAAUAGACCACUGCAGAGCAGUGAGGGAAGGACUGCCUUUCCAAUAAACAGUUCUGGGAAAACAGGAUAUCUGUGUGGAAAGAAUAAAAAUGGACACCUACAGUCCUUGGGAGAUCAUAGACCUAAAUGUGAAAAGCAAAGCAAUAAAGCUUCUCAAAGAAUAUGUCUUGGAAACAGGAUUAAGAUGGCGGAAUAGAAGGACUGGAGCUCAACUUCUCUCCUAAAAGCAACAAAAUUCACAACUAAAGACUGAGCAAUCUCCACCCAAAUGGACCGGAAACCCAUANGGUACAAACAACUCCAUACCUCCUGGGUGGGAAGCUCCACAGUCUGGAGACUAACUGGUUCACAGAGACUCACCUACAGGAGUGAGAGUUCUGAGCCCCACAUCAAACUCUCAAGUGUGCGGAUCUGGCACUGGGAGAAAGAGCCCCUGGAGCAUCUGGCAUUGAAGGCCAAUGGGACUUAUGCACCGGAGCUUCAUGGGACUGGGGGACAUAAAGAACCCAUUAUUAAAAGGUGCACACAGACUUGCAUGUGCACUGGAUCCCAGGGCAAAGCAAAGUCUCCAUAGCAAUCUGGGUCAAAACUGACUGCAGUUCUUGGAGGACCUCCUGGGAAAACAGGGGUGGAUAUGGCUUGUUGUGGCAGAAGGACAAUGGAAGCAAAGCUCUUGGGAAUCUUCAGCAGUGUGCCUUUCUCAGUAGAUGGCCAGUUUGGGAAAAUCUGGCCCCACCCGCCAGUCAGCUGCUGAGAAGCCCCUGGGCAAACAACAAUCCAGGUGAGAUCAAGCCCCGCCCAUCAGUAGACAGGAUGGCUAAAGAUCCCUCAGGACACAGCCAUCUCUAAUCCCAUCCAAAGACAAAGCACCACCCACCAGAGGGAUUAGAAUCAGCUCCACCUACCAGUGGGCAGGUAUCAGCCCCUCCCAUCAGGAAGCUUACAGCAAUCUCCCAUACCAACUUCAGCCACCAGUGGGGCAGACGCCAGAAGAAAGAGAGGCCACAACUCUAUUAGCUGUGAAAAGGUCACCACACCAAAAACCUAUAAAAAUGAAGAGACAGAGAACUAUAACUCAGAUGAGAGAAAAACCCCAGAAAAUCAGCUAAGCAACGAGGACAUUCUCAGCCUCCAGGAAAAAGACUUUAGACUGUCAAUGCUGAAGAAGAAUAUGUCUUAUACUAUCUGUAGUCAAGUGCCACGUUUUUAAAAAUACCUAAAAUCUCAGGGAUCCAUGCUGGGUCCUCCUGCACAUGACUGGUUCGCAGCUUGAGAGGCCCGACUUGCCGCGUUGAGUUCAGUCACACCAGAACUAUCAGCAAGAUGAGUCCUCUACUCACGCACCUGCAUUCCGUGUUACGUCGCAUUACCAUAAAGGUUUCUGAAGUCUUACUCUCAAUUUCUAUACUUAUCUCAUCAGGGACCAGUAAAAAACAGCUUAGAAAUAGUACAGGUCCUUGGACCACAGUUUGGUCAGCAUAGUAGUCAACAGUUCUUAAGACUGUUGAAGGUAAUAUAAGAAAAUAUCUUUAUGACCUCAGGUAGAAUGUUUUCUUAAAAUGAAUUCCAAAGGCACUAAUCAUAAGGGGAAAUACUGGGUAAGUUUUAGUACAUUAAAAUCAGGAACUGCUAAUUAAAAGAUACCAUGAAG
ensembl:lncRNA